ACCGCAUAUAUUAGAAAAAUAAAAUAUAAAUAUCCUUGAUCAACCAAUUCUACUAACAGAAAGUGUUACAGAAGAAAAUAUUUUCGAAGAACCACGAUGAUACAUUUAGGCCAAGAACAAUUUGCAUGGAAACCGUCCAAACACAAAUAUGGCGGAUCGUGAAGUUGUCACAUUGUGCUGUAAACAACGACUUUUCUUCGCAUCUACAAGCCUGUCACGAUGUCUUAUCUCUGGCAGUUAUGGGUGAAUAUACAGCAAAAUCAUACAGAUUUUGAUGAAGAUGUUAAAGAUAGUAAAGUCAAAGACAGUUUGAUGAACCAAAUGACACUGAUAAAGAAGAAGAUACAAAAAAAAAAGAUACUUCUAGCCAGGCAUGUGACUUUGAAGCUGAUAGUUUGGUAACCACUUGAGAGAUAUAUAACCUGUAUGCAGGUGAUGACGGUAUAUGAGAGCCAUUUCUUAUAACGUGCUCUGAGGAAUAUAUGUUUUGUGUCGAAAUGAAAUGCGAAGUGAAAAAUUAAAUUGACAGAUGAAGAAAAUUUACCACUCCAUCCUUCUGCAUGUAUGGUCUUCUGAAUUCAAAGCCAUUUGAAAACCAACUUUAAGUUAAGAGGAACACUUUAUUUUCAGUGAAACAUUCCGGAAAAUAUUACUUCUACAUAGAAAGAAAAAGUUGUUGAUGUUGUAUUGCAAGAUGGCCAAGUUUGUAUGACCAGUGCUUUCGGAAAACUAUGCUUGCACUCAGUUUCCCAUGAACGAAGCAAUCUAAAGAUUAAGUGUAGAAUUUAAUUCUAAUGGAUAAAAAUCAACUCAGAAAUGUGUGAUUUGAAAAUGGUGAAAUAUUGUUUGUCUGUAAACAUUUUUUUCUUUAAAACAUAUUACAUGUAUAACUCCUCCCUGACAGCAUCAAUAUUUCAGAAAGUAUUUAAUUUAAAAAAUAGUUCUAGGGUCAGUGUCUUUCUAUGUAUCAAGUAUAAUAGGUAAUGAUUGAAAAUUAUUCAUUUUAUGAUUUUCUUGAUAUUAUACAUUAAAACUUUAAAAGUAAUAAAAUUUCCUGUCAUUC